GACGAACGCUGGCGGCGUGCUUAACACAUGCAAGUCGAACGAUGAACCACUUCGGUGGGGAUUAGUGGCGAACGGGUGAGUAACACGUGGGCAAUCUGCCCUUCACUCUGGGACAAGCCCUGGAAACGGGGUCUAAUACCGAAUAGCACUCCCUGAGGCAUCUUGGGGGGUUGAAAGCUACGGCGGUGAAGGAUGAGCCCGCGGCCUAUCAGCUUGUUGGUGAGGUAGUGGCUCACCAAGGCGACGACGGGUAGCCGGCCUGAGAGGGCGACCGGCCACACUGGGACUGAGACACGGCCCAGACUCCUACGGGAGGCAGCAGUGGGGAAUAUUGCACAAUGGGCGCAAGCCUGAUGCAGCGACGCCGCGUGAGGGAUGACGGCCUUCGGGUUGUAAACCUCUUUCAGCAGGGAAGAAGCGCAAGUGACGGUACCUGCAGAAGAAGCGCCGGCUAACUACGUGCCAGCAGCCGCAGUAA
rnacentral:rRNA from 1 species